rnacentral:rRNA from 1 species
AUGGUUAGGUGGUCAGAAAUCUGCAAGCCUCGCGACCAGGGCGGACUCGAGAUCAUGUCUUCCAAACGCAUGAACAUUGCCCUCCUGACUCGGUGGCUUUGGCGAAUUGCCAACGGAGAUGGUGGCAUGUGGCUUCGCAUCAUUCAGCAGAAAUACCUCCGAGGCCAGCCUCUCGCUUUCUGCCAGCGGUCUGGGGGAUUCCAGUUCUGGCAAUCCGUCAUCCAGCUCCUCCCAGUCCUCCAGAUUCGGACCUCGAUAGAGGUCGGAUUAGGCACCGCCAGCUUGUUCUGGUUCGACAGAUGGUCUGGUGACUUGCCCCUUGCGGCCCGCUUUCCCGACCUAUUCUCCAUUGUGGUGGCCCCUUAG